CCUCGACCUCACCCAGACUGUCACCUUCACUCAGUCACUCUGUCAGUCCUCACUCCUCACCUAAAUCGCAACUUCACUAGUUCACCCACUGUCCAUACCAGUACCACCCAAAUCUCGGUCUCAGUCCGCACUUCUCCUUACUGCACAAGGUAAGAAAUUCCUGCAAUAAACUCAAGGGUUUCUGAAUUAGGGCUUUUGGAAUUAGGAAUUUCUGAAAUUAGGGUUUCUAAAUUAGGGCUUUUGGAAUUAGGAAUUUCUGAAAUUCAGGUUUCUGAAUUAGGGAUUUUGAAUAGGGACUCUGAAUUAGGGCCUUUGGAAUUCGAAAUUUCUGAAAUUCAUGUUUCUGAAUUAGGGAUUUUGAAUAGGGACUCUGAAUUAGGGCUUUUGAGAUUUUGAAUAAGGACUCUGGAUUUUGAAUAGAGAUUUUCUUUAUGUUCUUUAUCAAUUUAAUUUCUUAAUAUACAAGCCUACAAUCAAGACGAUGAUGAAAAUUUCACAAAACUACAACUUUCGAAUAUUCUUGUCUGCUAAUUAAUUGGUAUUUUUUCAGAAAAAUUAUGUUUUUUUUUAUACAGUUUAUGCAUAUUUUAAAAUAGUAUUCUUCAACUAUUCAUUUUGAUGGAAAUUGUGAUUGUAUGCUCUCAUGAUUCUGCACAUGAGGUCUUAAACAGAGGGUUACCCAAAUAAGGCAAAUUUUGGCUAUAUUUGAAUUGUUUUACAAAAAAAUGAUAUUUAUGAAUUUGAAGAGUAAAUUUUGGCUGUAAAUGAUAAAAACUCUUAUAUAUGAAGAUGCUUACUGUUUGGCGUUUGCCAGUGCAAUUGAUAUGGAUAUGGGAAGUUUGCUUACUGGUUGAGUGCAAUUAUAUAUGUGAAAUUGAAAUGGAUAUGGUAUGAAAUUGGUAUGAGUAUGAUUUUAUAGUUUUGUUUUUCUUUCUUGAAGCAAUGGGUGUUGUAGAGCAAGAUUUUAUGAACCUUAGUGAUGGAGGGUCAGUGGAAGUGACAAUGGGAAUACAACCUGAUCAUGGAAGUGAAAAUACAAAAGAUACAAAUACAAGUCCGACAAAGAAAAAGGCUAGAGUGAUCAAAUAAGGUAAGCGAACAUUCAUGUCUCUUGUUUGGAAAACUUUCAACAAAUUGACUACUAUUUUUGAAGAUGGUAAAAGUCGUACUCAAUGUAAAGAUUGUAAGAAACUGGUAAUAGAUGAUAGUCAUCAUGGGAUGGGUAAUAUAAAUAGACAUUUGAAAACAUGCCCUGGACAGACUGGUGGAUUAUUGUCGGUGUCUGAAUUAUGUUCCCAAAACUUUGAUCUUGUGGUAUUCCGUGGCUUAUUGGUAGAGGCCAUCAUCAAGCAUAAUCUUCCUUUUAGUUUUUAUGAAUAUGAGGGAAUUAGGGUUUUGUUUGCAUAUAUAUCUCCUGAUAUUAAGCUACCAUUUAGAAUUACAAUUAAAACCUGUGUGUUGAGGAUGUUCAAAAAUGAAAAACAAAGGCUUCAUAAUUUGUUAGGCUCAGUUGAAGGUAGAAUUUGUUUGACAUCAGACUUAUGGACCUCACAAUGCACUGAUGGGUAUCUUGCUCUUACUGCUCACUUUGUAGACAAAGAUUGGAAAUUGCAUAAGAGAAUUUUAAUUUUUUUGUCACAUGUCUCCUCCUCAUCCUGGUGCUGCAUUAUCUGAGAAAAUUAAUGCAUUGGUGACUAAGUGGGGGAUUGAGAAGAAGUUAUUUUCUAUUACUUUGGAUAAUGCUUCUUCAAAUAUUUCUUUUGUUAGCAUUUUAAAGAAUCAAUUGAAUCUUAGAAGUCUUCUCGUGAUGAAUGGUGACUUCUUUCAUGUGCGUUGUUGUGCUCAUAUCUUGAAUUUGAUAGUUCAAGAUGGACUUAAAGAAAUUGAUUCUUCGGUGAUAAAAAUUCGUGAAUGCAUCAAGUAUAUAAAGGACUUUGAGGCUAGGAAACUAAAGUUUUAUGAAUGUGUUAGCCAAGUAGGGAUAUUGGAUAGUAGGAGAGGUUUGAGACAAGAUGGAACUCAACCUAUAUUAUGCUAGAUAGUGCAAUUUUCUAUCGAUAUGCUUUGAUUCAUUUAGCGUUGAGUGAUUCCAAUUUUACUAGUUGUCUUUCUGAAGAGUGGGAUAAAAUAAUGAAAAUUCCCAAGUUUUUGGGGUACUUUUAUGAGGUUAUGUGCUUAUUCUCUGGGACAAAGUACCCCACAUCAAAUUUGUUCUUCCCUACGGUGUUUGUAAUCCAACUUCAAAUUAAGGCAGCCAUGGAUGACUCUGAAAGUUUCAUGAAAAAGAUGGGGACUUGCAUGUACAUGAAGUUUAAGAAGUAUUGGUCAGAGUACAGUUUGAUUUUGGCAAUUGCAAUCAUCUUAGACCCUCGUUAUAAAUUGCAUUUUGUGGAUUCGGCUUACACAAAACUUCAUGGUGUGAAUUCGGUCGAAUUUACAAAGGUUAAUGACAAAUUGAAUGAUCUUUUUGGUGUGUACUUGGAAAAACUUCUGCAUCUUGAUAAUUCAAAUACUCUAGUGAAUUCAGUGCCUAAUCAUCAAACAGAAUCUAUAGAUGUUCUCUUUGAGGUAAUCUAAUUUUGUUUUUAUUUACUUUAUAUAUUUGUAGAUUGUAGUAUUAGUACUAUAAAAAGUGUUGAUAUUAUAUUUGAAAUUGACAUGAUGCAUGAUUUUUUAUGACGUAGGAUUUUGAUAAUAAUUACGAUGGUUCAAGUUUGAUUCAAAAAAAUGAAUUGCAUAAGUAUUUGGAGGAUAAAAGAAUAGAUAGAAAAGUAGACAUAUAUGUUCUUUCUUGGUGGCAAAUGGAGCGUUUUCAUUAUCCAAUACUUUCUCAGUUAGCACGAGAUGUGUUAACAAUUCACAUUUCAACUGUUGCAUUAGAAUCUGCAUUUAGUAUUGGGGGUAGAGUACUAGAUCAGUAUCGUAUUUCAUUGUUACCAGAAACAGUUCAAGCUUUGUUGUGCACACGAGAUUGGCCGUUUGGAAAAUGAGGUAAUAUAUUUUUAUAUGGUAUAGUACUAUUGUUUUAUUUCUGUUCAUAAUUAUUUUGGUAAACUUCUCAUAAUUGGAAUGAUUUUUAAUGUUUGGUUUUUCUAUACUUAGUUUAUGCGGAAGAGAGUUCUGACGUGGAAAAUCUUACUAAAAACAUCAUCAACAUAACUCAUGAAGGCCAAAGUUCCAAUACAAUUUCCUCAUGAUGAUUGAUGUAAAUUGAGGAUUUUGUAAAAGGAAUAACACGCAAGCUUUGAGUUCCAUUGGCAAGAUUUAAACUUUUGAGAAUGACUUCACAACCUUGAAAACAAAAACUCUUUCAUUUUGCAUAUCCUUGCACAUUUAAUAUUUGUAAUAGAUUAGUAGUGUAUGUAUUAUUUUUUUAUUAGGCUCUUAUUUUCGAGUGUAGAUAUAGUACUUAAACGACAAAUGUAUUUUAAUAUUUUGAAGUAAUAUUUAUGUG
rnacentral:lncRNA from 1 species